CCUACGGGAGGCAGCAGUGGGGGAUAUUGCACAAUGGGGGGAACCCUGAUGCAGCGACGCCGCGUGGGUGAAGGAGUGCUUCGGCAUGUAAAGCCCUAUCGGCAGGGAAGAAGCAAGACGGUACCUGACUAAGAAGCCCCGGCUAACUACGUGCCAGCAGCCGCGGUAAUACGUAGGGGGGGAGCGUUAUCCGGAUUCACGGGGUGGAAAGGGAGCGUAGACGGCCAUGCAAGCCAGGGGUGAAAGCCCGGGGCCCAACCCCGGGACUGCCCUUGGAACUGCAUGGCUGGAGUGCGGGAGGGGCAGGCGGAAUUCCUGGUGUAGCGGUGAAAUGCGUAGAUAUCAGGAGGAACACCGGCGGCGAAGGCGGCCUGCUGGACCGCGACUGACGUUGAGGCUCGAAAGCGUGGGGAGCGAACAGGAUUAGAUACCCGUGUAGUC
rnacentral:rRNA from 1 species